UACAGAGGGGGCAAGCGUUGUUCGGAAUUACUGGGCGUAAAGGGCGCGUAGGCGGCCUGUUAAGUCGAACGUGAAAUCCCCGGGCUCAACCCGGGAACUGCGUCCGAUACUGGCAGGCUUGAAUACGGGAGAGGGAUGCGGAAUUCCAGGUGUAGCGGUGAAAUGCGUAGAUAUCUGGAGGAACACCGGUGGCGAAGGCGGCAUCCUGGACCGGCAUUGACGCUGAGGCGCGAAAGCCAGGGGAGCAAACGGG
rnacentral:rRNA from 1 species